UACGUAGGGUGCAAGCGUUGUCCGGAAUUAUUGGGCGUAAAGAGCUCGUAGGCGGUUUGUCGCGUCGGCUGUGAAAACCUCCGGCUCAACUGGAGGCCUGCAGUCGAUACGGGCAGACUAGAGUGCGGUAGGGGAGAUUGGAAUUCCUGGUGUAGCGGUGGAAUGCGCAGAUAUCAGGAGGAACACCAGUGGCGAAGGCAGGAUCUCUGGGC
rnacentral:rRNA from 1 species